UUUCCUUUACGUGCUACGUUUGCGAGAAGUUGAGACUGAUUUGCUAGAUCUUUUAUUUAGUUUAAAUGUAAAGAUUUAACGUAAAUAUUAUGGUAUAGAAAAUAGUUUUGUUUUCAAGACCGACGUAGUUAUUUACAUCCUUGAAAUGUCAUUGUAAGAUAGAUCGAAUUUACAUUUCCCGGUACAGAGCAAUCAAAUACAGUAGCAUAGGAAAAGAAGAGAAAUGUGAUGGGUAAAGCAGGACUUUUCAACUUGUCCUGAGUAAAGUAACAGACAUGCAGCUUGAUGGUUAUCUUUUGAUUCUCUUCUCAUCUUUCUUACCCAUUGCUUCGGCAGAUAAACUGGAAUUCAGCCACAUUGCUGGAAUCAUUACUGGAAUUUUGGUAUUUGUUGUGAUUGUUGUGAUUGUGCUGCUGGUGUGUUGUAGAUCGAAGCUGAGUAUAUUAUGUGAUCGAUGUAAACGUGGAGGGCAAGGUAGAAGCGUCAAAGAAUCAAGCGCUCCAUCUGUGAAUUUUGUGAAGUUUCAAGAUUGAUUUAGACAAAAUUUAGUACUAAAUCCUCGUUGAAUUAAGCCUAAAAAAUUAGUGUCUAUUUGGUAUACACGGUGCAUGUUUUUAACAGAUUAAAAAAAAAAGUACUCUGUUUUUAAAGGAUUUCAAACUAUUGAAAAUUAAUGAUUUAUUGGAUAUUGUAUAGUUUUGUAAAUCUAGUCAAGUAACUUAUCGAAAGAGAGGCAUAGUAAAUGUAAAUAGUUAUUUACACAUUGAGAAUACUGAGGAAAUGACAAAACAAACAUAUAGCAGUUGUUAGGUCUAAGAUCUAGAAUCCACCUAACACUUAUCCACUGGUUUCACUCAAUAAAUUUAUGCGUAGUUUACUCACCUCCGUAGUAACUAGACAAUAUUUUUCAGGAACAGCUGUCACUCUCUGUUACUCUGCAGUGACAGAGAUGGGUCUUCCUCUCACGUAACUCCAAAAAUAGAGUGAUACUUUCUUCUUGAACUCCUACUGAACUUUUCACCCACCGAAUUUUAGCAGACCUUGUUACAUGUUGGUUUAACCACUCAAUGUGUCUGGUAUACUGUGAAUGGUAUGCAGUAGUUCGCACCGAAUAAAUAUUAACUCUUUCUCUCCUUACUGACGGUACCAUCGUUGAUUUGACCUCAUUAAACUAAUGUUUAAUUUUAUAAACUUUUUUUUGUGUUAUAUAAAAAGGGCAUGUAGUUUCCUUUCAUUCUUUACAAAAAUAAAACUUUUUCUGAUAACAAACGACAAAGCUAUUAAAGCCCAAUCAUAACAGGGGAGUGAAAUAGUCAAAUGAAGAAUUUCGUCAAAACGUGGGGAAAUAAUUACGAGAGAAAGAGUUAAUUAAUAGUGUUAAGCAGACAAGGCAGAGUUACAAUAAUACAUUAGACAUAAGACAAAGGUAAAAUCGCGAAUGUGAAGUUGGAAGCAAGCUCACAAUAAACAAUUCUGACUAUUUCUCAGUUCAAUUCUAGGGUAUGGAUAAAACUUCAGAAAAAAAUUACCACUGAAGUUGAAGAAGCAAUAGUACAGUAAGACGUCAACACCGUUAUAAAUGUGAGUUUUUAAUAUGACAGUUUGGUCUAAAAGUAAAAUAGCUUUGUAAUCACAUAAACGUUGAAAGCCUACCUGUGAUCAGUAAAAGGAGACUCACCAGAGUUCUGUCUGGUUAAGAAACAGAAAUUCUUUGUACAUAUUUUAUAUUUAGGAAUCUCAUUGUAUGCAUGCGCGUGAGUAAGAGAAAAUUUUUCCCGAUAUUGAGCAGUCAAUAAUUUGUCAUUUAUUUUUAACAGUUGGCGAGUGGUUAAGCGAUCUGCGGUCCUGGGUUCAAAUCUCGGUGAAGACUGUGAUUUUUAAUUUCAGGAUUCGAGUCCAUCCAACACUAAUGGCUACCUGACUUUAGUUGGGGAAAGUAAAUGCGGUCACAUGACACCCUGCUCGUUAACCGUUGGCUAAAGAAACGGAUGAUCUUAACAUCAUCUGCCUUAUAGAUUGCAAGGUCUGAAAGGGGAUCUUCAAUUGUUUUACUUUUUCUUUUGUUUCUUGCAUAAAUUUGUAUAUAAUUAAUAGUAAAUUAUAAAUGGAAGAAAAAACGAAAGAGAGAAAGGAAAAAAAUGGGAGCCAAAAAAAAAAUGAUUCCGUUGAGAAAGGGAGAGAAAGAGAUGAGUGAGAUGCCCAGAGUAUGAAUGAGUUGUAAAAUGUGCAUGGCUAGUGGCUACCAGUUCUUGCUAUGGCAUCUUAGAUCUUAUAAGAAAAAACAUAUUUUUUUAUUUUUUUUUAAAGUCUAUAUUUAGUGCAAUAGUAUCAAUUAGUUUGGAUCAGUCAUAUUACUAUAUGUAGAAUGAAUGUAGAUGAAACCUAAACAUAUUAGAUCUGUGCGAUUUGAAAUAUUUUUACCAAUUGUUUUUUUGUUUAGCUUUUUGGUUUUUUUAACGCGCUAUGAUCCUAUCACUUGUCUGGGCCAGUUGUGAAAGGGGCAGGGAAGAAGUCGGUAUCUUGGUAAAUGUAUACAUGAUCCUUUUUUUUUUAAUGCAUAAAAAAAUGUUCACUUAGGGCUCGAGUCCUCAAGGGGACUAAUUUAACUUAUACCACAACAUCUGUCAAGCAGGAUCUUUUCCCUUUGUUCAAAAUGCCAAACAAAAUAAUUAAAACCAAUAGUAAAUUUA